rnacentral:tRNA from 1 species
GGCGCUGUGGCUGAGCGGUAAAGCGCUUGUCUUCCAAACCAGGGGUCCCGGGUUUGAAUCCUGGUGUAGUCU